rnacentral:rRNA from 1 species
GAUGAACGCUGGCGGCGUGCCUAAUACAUGCAAGUCGAGCGAACGGACGAGAAGCUUACUUCUCUGAUGUUAGCGGCGGACGGGUGAGUAACACGUGGAUAACCUACCUAUAAGACUGGGAUGACUUCGGGAAACCGGAGCUAAUACCGGAUAAUAUUUUGAACCGCAUGGUUCAAAAGUGAAAGACGGUCUUGCUGUCACUUAUAGAUGGAUCCGCGCUGCAUUAGCUAGUUGGUAAGGUAACGGCUUACCAAGGCAACGAUGCAUAGCCGACCUGAGAGGGUGAUCGGCCACACUGGAACUGAGACACGGUCCAGACUCCUACGGGAGGCAGCAGUAGGGAAUCUUCCGCAAUGGGCGAAAGCCUGACGGAGCAACGCCGCGUGAGUGAUGAAGGUCUUCGGAUCGUAAAACUCUGUUAUUAGGGAAGAACAUAUGUGUAAGUAACUGUGCACAUCUUGACGGUACCUAAUCAGAAAGCCACGGCUAACUACGUG